CGUUGAAACACGGGUUGUCGUAAGAUCACCGAAGUUAAGCAACAUCCAGCCUGGUCAAUACCUAGAUUAGUAACCACUUGGGAAUACCUGGUGCUGAAA